rnacentral:rRNA from 1 species
AGUGAACGCUGGCGGUAGGCCUAACACAUGCAAGUCGAACGGCAGCACAGUAAGAGCUUGCUCUUACGGGUGGCGAGUGGCGGACGGGUGAGGAAUACAUCGGAAUCUACUUUUUCGUGGGGGAUAACGUAGGGAAACUUACGCUAAUACCGCAUACGACCUACGGGUGAAAGCAGGGGAUCUUCGGACCUUGCGCGAUUGAAUGAGCCGAUGUCGGAUUAGCUAGUUGGCGGGGUAAAGGCCCACCAAGGCGACGAUCCGUAGCUGGUCUGAGAGGAUGAUCAGCCAAACGGGAACUGAGACACGGUCCAGACUCCUACGGGAGGCAGCAGGGGGGAAUAUUGGACAAGGGGCGCAAGCCUGACCCAGCCAUACCGCGUGGGUGAAGAAGGCCUUCGGGUUGUAAAGCCCUUUUGUUGGGAAAGAAAAGAAGCAGGUUAAUACCCCGCUGUUCUGACGGUACCAAAAGAAUAAGCACCGGCUAACUUCGU